rnacentral:rRNA from 1 species
AACGAACGCUGGCGGCAUGCCUAACACAUGCAAGUCGAACGAGACCUUCGGGUCUAGUGGCGCACGGGUGCGUAACGCGUGGGAACCUGCCCUUAGGUUCGGAAUAACUCCCCGAAAGGGGUGCUAAUACCGGAUAAUGUCUUCGGACCAAAGAUUUAUCGCCUUUGGAUGGGCCCGCGUUGGAUUAGCUAGUUGGUAGGGUAAAAGCCUACCAAGGCGACGAUCCAUAGCUGGUCUGAGAGGAUGAUCAGCCACACUGGGACUGAGACACGGCCCAGACUCGUACGGGAGGCAGCAGUGGGGAAUAUUGGACGAUGGGCGAAGGCCUGAUCCAGCAAUGCCGCGUGAGUGAUGAAGGCCUUAGGGUUGUAAAGCUCUUUUACCCGGGAUGAUAAUGACAGUACCGGGAGAAUAAGCUCCGGCUAACUCCGUG